UUUCUUUUUGUGAAUAUAAAAGGUAAGACCUGCUCACUGAUUAAUUAAAGAGCCGCGGUAUUUUGACCGUGCAAAGGUAGCAUAAUCAUUAGCUUUUUGAUUGGAGGCUGGUAUGAAAGGUUAAACGAAAAUGUAUCUGUCUCUUAAUAAAUUAUAUAAUUUUAUUUUAUAGUGAAAAAGCUAUAAUAAUAAAAGAGGACGAGAAGACCCCGUAGAGCUUUAUAACUUAAAUUAUAAUGGGGAAGAUAGGGAUUAAGUUAUUGUAUGGGGGGGAUAAUGAAAUAAAUAAACUUUUAAAAUUUAAACAUUUAUAAAUGAUUUUAAGAUCUAAAGAUACAUAAAGAUUAAGUUACCUCGGGGAUAACAGCGUAAUUAUUUUGGAGAGUUCAAAUUGAUGAAAUAGCUUGCGACCUCGAUGUUGGAUUAGAAAAAAGUUUAAAGCAAAAAUUAAAGUGUAAAGUCUGUUCGACUAUUAAAAUUCUA
rnacentral:rRNA from 1 species